GAGCAAUAGAAGUUGAAAAAAAUCACUGUGAACUACUUACAGUAAAAAUGAAAAAAAUGGAAAAUGAGGUCCAUGUACUACAAAAGGAGUUAUCUGAAACAACAGAAAUAAAAUUACAGUUAGAACAUCAAAAUGAUGAAUGGGAACGAGAUUUCUACAGUUUGAGAUCUACCUUAAGACAAGAAGAAGAGAAGAGAAAAAAUGCCAAUGCAUUGUAUGAAAAAAUCAGGGGACACUUAAGAAGAAAAGAAGAGCAGUACAGGAAAGAAGUUGAAGCAAACAAACAACUUCAGCUGACGCUGAGAACACGAGAUACGGAAUUGAGGACAGUAAGAAAUCAUUUGAACCAGGUUGUACAAGAGCUAAAUGACACCCAGAGGCAACUUUCUCGGGAACAGAACGCCAGAAUAUUACAAGAUGAAAUUCUGACCAAUCACCUUUGCAAACAAAAGGAGAUAGCACUGGC
rnacentral:lncRNA from 1 species